GACGAACGCUGGCGGCGUGCUUAACACAUGCAAGUCGAACGGAAAGGCCCUGCUUUUGUCGGGUUCUCGAGUGGCUAACGGGUGAGUAACACGUGAGUAACCUACCCUCUACUUUGGGAUAACUUCAGGAAACUGGGGCUAAUACCGGAUAGGAGCUCCUGCUGCCUAGUGAGGGUUGGAAAGUUUCGGCGUUUGGUGAUGGACUCGCGGCUUAUCAGCUUGAUGGUGGGGUAGUGGCUUACCAAGGCUUUGACGGGUAGCCGGACUGAGAGGGUGACCGGACACACUGGGAAUGAGGAACGGGCCAGAGUCGUACGGGAGGCAGCAGUGGGGAAUAAUGCACAAGGGGAGGAAGCCUGAAGCAGCAACGCCGCGGGCGGGAAGAAGGCCUUCGGGUUGUAAAACGCUUUCGCCUGUGACGAAGAGUGAGUUAAGGUAAUGGGUAAAGAAGCACCGGCUAACUACGUG
rnacentral:rRNA from 1 species